rnacentral:rRNA from 1 species
GACGAACGCUGGCGGCGUGCUUAACACAUGCAAGUCGAACGGAAAGGCCCUGCUUUUGUGGGGUGCUCGAGUGGCGAACGGGUGAGUAACACGUGAGUAACCUGCCCUUGACUUUGGGAUAACUUCAGGAAACUGGGGCUAAUACCGGAUAGGAGCUCCUGCUGCAUGGUGGGGGUUGGAAAGUUUCGGCGGUUGGGGAUGGACUCGCGGCUUAUCAGCUUGUUGGUGGGGUAGUGGCUUACCAAGGCUUUGACGGGUAGCCGGCCUGAGAGGGUGACCGGCCACAUUGGGACUACGGUACGGACCAGACUCCUACGGGAGGCAGCAGUGGGGAAUAUUGCACAAUGGGCGGAAGCCUGAUGCAGCAACGCCGCGUGCGGGAUGACGGCCUUCGGGUUGUAAACCGCUUUCGCCUGUGACGAAGCGUGAGUGACGGUAAUGGGUAAAGAAGCACCGGCUAACUACGUG